AGAGUUUGAUCCUGGCUCAGAUUGAACGCUGGCGGCAUGCCUAACACAUGCAAGUCGAACGGCAGCACGGGGGCAACCCUGGUGGCGAGUGGCGAACGGGUGAGUAAUGUAUCGGAACAUGUCCGGAAGUGGGGGAUAACGUAGCGAAAGUUACGCUAAUACCGCAUAUGCCCUGAGGGGGAAAGGAGGGGAUCGCAAGACCUUUCGCUUUCGGAGUGGCCGAUAUCAGACUAGCUAGUUGGUGAGGUAAAGGCUCACCCAAGGCGACGAUCUGUAGCUGGUCUGAGAGGACGACCAGCCACACUGGACUGAGACACGCC
rnacentral:rRNA from 1 species